rnacentral:rRNA from 1 species
UACGAAGGUGGCGAGCGUUGUUCGGAAUCACUGGGCAUAAAGCGCACGUAGGCGGUGCCGUAAGUCGGAUGUGAAAUCCCUCGGCCUAACCGAGGAACUGCGUCCGAUACUGCGGUGCUUGAGGAUCAGAGGGGUGCAUGGAAUUUCCGGUGGAGCGGUGAAAUGCGUUGAUAUCGGAAGGAACUCCGGCGGCGAAAGCGAUGCACUGGCUGAUUUCUGACGCUGAGGUGCGAAAGCCAGGGGAGCAAACGGG